AUGUUCCGGCAGCACAAAUACUAAGAAUGGAAUAAUAUAGAGAAGAUUAGCAUGGCGUCUGAGCAAGGAUGACAAGCAAACUUGUGAGGCAUUCCACAUUUAA